rnacentral:rRNA from 1 species
UGGGGAAUAUUGCACAAUGGGGGAAACCCUGAUGCAGCGACGCCGCGUGAACGAAGAAGGUAUUCGUAUCGUAAAGUUCUGUCCUAUGGGAAGAUAAUGACAGUACCAUAGAAGAAAGCUCCGGCUAAAUACGUGCCAGCAGCCGCGGUAAUACGUAUGGAGCGAGCGUUGACCGGAAUUAUUGGGCGUAAAGGGUACGCAGGCGGUUUAAUAAGUCGAAUGUUAAAGAUCGGGGCUCAACCCCGCAAAGCAUUGGAAACUGAUAAACUUGAGUAGUGGAGAGGAAAGUGGAAUUCCUAGUGUAGUGGUGAAAUACGUAGAUAUUAGGAGGAAUACCAGUAGCGAAGGCGACUUUCUGGACACAAACUGACGCUGAGGUACGAAAGCGUAGGGAGCAAACAGG